GACGAACGCUGGCGGCGUGCUUAACACAUGCAAGUCGAACGGCAAAGCCCUGCUUUUGUGGGGGGCUCGAGUCGCGAACGGGUGAAUCACACGUGAGUCACCUGCCCUUGACUUUGGGAUAACUUCAGAACACGGGGGCUAAUCCCGGAUAGGCACUCCUGCUGCAUGGAGGGGGUUGGAAAGUUUCGGCGGUUGGGGAUGGACGCGGGGCUCAUCAGCUUGUUGGUGGGGUAGUGGCUUACCACGUCUUAGACGGGUAGCCGGCCUGAGAGGUUAACCGGCCACAUUGCGCCUGCGAGAGGGCGCAGAGUGCUAUGGGAGGCAGUGGUCGAGAGCGUGGCGCAACGGCCGGACGCCGGAGACAGCAGCGCUGCGGUCGGGAUGACGGUCCUCGGGUUGUAAACCUCUUGCGCCGGAGAGGCAGCGGGAGUGACGGUACUGGCUAAAGAAGCACCGGCUAACUACGUG
rnacentral:rRNA from 1 species